rnacentral:rRNA from 1 species
GUGUCUUCGAGUCGUUGAUUUCACACUGCCGAGAAAAGCCUCUAGAUAGAAAAUAGGUGCCCGUACCGCAAACCGACACAGGUAGUCAAGAUGAGAAUUCUAAGGUGAGCGAGCGAACUCUCGUUAAGGAACUCGGCAAAAUGACCCCGUAACUUCGGGAGAAGGGGUGCUCUUUAGGGUUAACGCCCAGAAGAGCCGCAGUGAAUAGGCCCAAGCGACUGUUUAUCAAAAACACAGGUCUCUGCUAAACCGUAAGGUGAUGUAUAGGGGCUGACGCCUGCCCGGUGCUGGAAGGUUAAGAGGAGUGGUUAGCUUCUGCGAAGCUACGAAUCGAAGCCCCAGUAAACGGCGGCCGUAACUAUAACGGUCCUAAGGUAGCGAAAUUCCUUGUCGGGUAAGUUCCGACCCGCACGAAAGGCGUAACGAUUUGGGCACUGUCUCAACGAGAGACUCGGUGAAAUCAUAGUACCUGUGAAGAUGCAGGUUACCCGCGACAGGACGGAAAGACCCCGUGGAGCUUUACUGUAGCCUGAUAUUGAAAUUCGGCACAGCUUGUACAGGAUAGGUAGGAGCCUUUGAAACGUGAGCGCUAGCUUACGUGGAGGCGCUGGUGGGAUACUACCCUAGCUGUGUUGGCUUUCUAACCCGCACCACUUAUCGUGGUGGGAGACAGUGUCAGGCGGGCAGUUUGACUGGGGCGGUCGCCUCCUAAAAGGUAACGGAGGCGCUCAAAGGUUCCCUCAGAAUGGUUGGAAAUCAUUCAUAGAGUGUAAAGGCAUAAGGGAGCUUGACUGCGAGACCUACAAGUCGAGCAGGGUCGAAAGACGGACUUAGUGAUCCGGUGGUUCCGCAUGGAAGGGCCAUCG